rnacentral:rRNA from 1 species
UACGUAGGGGGCAAGCGUUGUCCGGAAUCAUUGGGCGUAAAGAGCGUGUAGGCGGCCAGGUAGGUCUGCUGUGAAAACUCGAGGCUUAACCUCGAGACGUCGGUGGAAACCGUUUGGCUAGAGUCCGGAAGAGGAGAGUGGAAUUCCCGGUGUAGCGGUGAAAUGCGCAGAUAUCGGGAAGAACACCCGUGGCGAAGGCGGCUCUCUGGGACGGUACUGACGCUGAGACGCGAAAGCGUGGGGAGCGAACAGG